AGUGAACGCUGGCGGUAGGCCUAACACAUGCAAGUCGAACGGCAGCACAGUAAGAGCUUGCUCUUACGGGUGGCGAGUGGCGGACGGGUGAGGAAUACAUCGGAAUCUACUUUUUCGUGGGGGAUAACGUAGGUAAACUUACGCUAAUACCGCAUACGACCUACGGGUGAAAGCAGUGGAUCUUCGGACCUUGCGCGAUUGAAUGAGCCGAUGUCGGAUUAGCUAGUUGGCGGGGUAAAGGCCCACCAAGGCGCCGAUCCGUAGCUGGUCUGAGAGGAUGAUCAGCCACACUGGAACUGAGACACGGUCCAGACUCCUACGGGAGGCAGCAGUGGGGAAUAUUGGACAAUGGGCGCAAGCCUGAUCCAGCCAUACCGCGUGGGUGAAGAAGGCCUUCGGGUUGUAAAGACCUUUUGUUGGGAAAGAAAAGCAGCAGGUUAAUACCCCGCUGUUCUGACGGUACCCAAAGAAUAAGCACCGGCUAACUUCGUG
rnacentral:rRNA from 1 species